rnacentral:rRNA from 1 species
AGCCCCCCUCAAGAUGAGAUUUCCCAAUUAGUAAGACCCCUUGAAGACGACGAGGUAGAUAGGUUGGAGGUGGAAGUGCAGCAAUGCAUGGAGCUGACCAAUACUAAUCGGUCGAGGGCUUAUCCUAUA